rnacentral:lncRNA from 1 species
AUGAAUCAGGAUUUGUCAGUGGGAUGCGGGCUGAGUGCAGGGCCCCAUAGACUAGGCAGCAGGAACCCCUUCUCUCCUAGUUACAGACCCAGCUCUUCAGCUGACUGUCGGCUCCUCCAGCGAGGACUCACUGUGUUGGACCAUUCCCACCUUCCUGCAAGUGUCUCUUGGGAAACUCCUCUCUCAGCUCAGUGGAAUCAGGUAUAUGGGCUCAGAUCAUGAAUGUUUUAUUGAGAUGUUCCAGCUUUACUACAUAAUCACAGGUGAGUUGACUAGGCACAAAUGCUAAAUAAUUUAGAAUUAAAUGUUCAUGGAACCCAGUGCAUCUGUACUGGGAUAUCUUAAUUUA